rnacentral:lncRNA from 1 species
ACCCCGCGAGCCUACUGGUAGCAGAUUUCGUGCUUCAUCAGCUGGCGCCGUCUGUGGGAAUAUCGAACUACGAUAUCCCGUCGUAAUCGCGAAAUUUUCUUCGAAAAGAUCAGCUCGAUUCCCUUAGGGUGAGUCGCUGACUUUGUGUCAAGGAAUCUCCGAUUCACACAGGCAAUCGCCGAUUCCACCUAGUGAAUCGCCGAUUGCGGGUUAUUCUGCUAGCUAAGAGUGUUGUCCACGGCCAGACUCGAAGGAAAAACUACCUAAAGCAGUCACCGAUUCC